GCACCCUUAGCUCAGUGGAUAGUCAGCAAUGUCCUUCUAAGACAUGGGUCAAAGGUUCGAAUCCUUUAGGGUGCG
rnacentral:tRNA from 1 species